rnacentral:rRNA from 1 species
CCUACGGGGGGCAGCAGUGAGGAAUAUUGGUCAAUGGGCGAGAGCCUGAUGCAGCCAAGUAGCGUGAAGGAUGACUGCCCUAUGGGUGGUAAACUUCUUUUAUAUGGGAAUAAAAUGUUCCACGUGUGGGAUUUUGUAUGUACCAUAUGAAUAAGGAUCGGCUAACUCCGUGCCAGCAGCCGCGGUAAUACGGAGGAUCCGAGCGUUAUCCGGAUUUAUUGGGUGUAAAGGGAGCGUAGGUGGAUUGUUAAGUCAGUUGGGAAAGUGUGCGGCGCAACCGUCAAAUUGCAGUUGAAACUGGCAGUCUUGAGUACAGUAGAGGUGGGCGGAAUUCGUGGUGUAGCGGUGAAAUGCUUAGAUAUCACGAAGAACUCCGAUUGCGAAGGCAGCUUACUGGACUGCAACUGACACUGAGGCUCGAAAGUGUGGGUAUCAAACAGGAUUAGAUACCCGAGUAGUC